UACGGAGGGUGCAAGCGUUAUCCGGAUUUACUGGGUUUAAAGGGUGUGUAGGCGGGCUUUUAAGUCAGUGGUGAAAUCUCCGGGCUCAACCCGGAAACUGCCAUUGAUACUAUUAGUCUUGAAUUUUGUUGAGGUAGGCGGAAUAAGUCAUGUAGCGGUGAAAUGUUUAGAUAUGACUUAGAACACCAAUUGCGAAGGCAGCUUGCUAAACAAACAUUGACGCUGAGGCACGAAAGCGUGGGGAUCAAACAGG
rnacentral:rRNA from 1 species